rnacentral:rRNA from 1 species
GAUGAACGCUGGCGGCGUGCCUAAUACAUGCAAGUCGAGCGAACGGACGAGAAGCUUGCUUCUCUGAUGUUAGCGGCGAACGGGUGAGUAACACGUGGAUAACCUACCUAUAAGACUGGGAUAACUUCGGGAAACUGGAGCUAAUACCGGAUAAUAUUUUGAACCGCAUGGUUCAAAAGUGAAAGACGGUCUUGCUGUCACUUAUAGAUGGAUCCGCGCUGCAUUAGCUAGUUGGUAAGGUAACGGCUUACCAAGGCAACGAUGCAUAGCCGACCUGAGAGGGUGAUCGGCCACACUGGAACUGAGACACGGUCCAGACUCCUACGGGAGGCAGCAGUAGGGAAUCUUCCGCAAUGGGCGAAAGCCUGACGGAGCAACGCCGCGUGAGUGAUGAAGGUCUUCGGAUCGUAAAACUCUGUUAUUAGGGAAGAACAUAUGUGUAAGUAACUGUGCACAUCUUGACGGUACCUAAUCAGAAAGCCACGGCUAACUACGUG